rnacentral:lncRNA from 1 species
CGGGGAGGCAGCGUGAUUUUCUGCUUUUCGACCCAGAGAGGCAAUUUGUCCUUGCCUUCCACGAGCCACCUUGUGUUGCUAGGAGAUGGUAACUUCGCAAUGUCUCGUCUUCUCCAGUGUAGCUCUUAUCUUUCUCCGGGGAAGCUGCAGACACCUAGAUGUCCAGCAAGUCCAUGAGAAACUGCAGAGCAAAACAGAGAUCCAAAUUACAGUCAGGGCUUGCUUGGUUUGUACAGAGUGACAGCAUGUGUACGUGGAACCCUAGAAAUAAUCGGUGACCAAUCUUUCAGAGAAGAUGCACGUGCUGUGGAUGACACUGGAAAUUUGGAUUAUCUUAAUAAAAUUUAGUCGUCUGGGGGCCAAGAGCACAGGCUCGAAGCGGGGG